ACCGCUGAGUACGUGACUAUUGGUGUUGGGUGUCCUAAAUAUGUCUGCGAGAGGAGCUUCUAGAUCUGUACUCAAUGAUUUUUUGAUAAAGGAAUUCUACUCAUGGAAAUCAUAUCGUGUUAUUUUAAUGAAAUUGAAAGUCAAAUUCGGGAUGAAAAGGAGCAUUUCAUGGUUGAAGAAGCAAUACAAAGAACUCGGUUUGAA